AGCUAAGGUCCCAAAAUAUAUGUUAAGUGGAAAAGGAUGUGGCGUUGCCCAGACAACUAGGAUGUUGGCUUAGAAGCAGCCAUCAUUUAAAGAGUGCGUAAUAGCUCACUAGUCGAGUGACACUGCGCCGAAAAUGUACCGGGGCUAAACAUAUUACCGAAGCUGUGGAUUGUCCUUUGGACAAUGGUAGGAGAGCGUUCUAAGGGCGUUGAAGCAUGAUCGUAAGGACAUGUGGAGCGCUUAGAAGUGAGAAUGCCGGUGUGAGUAGCGAAAGACGGGUGAGAAUCCCGUCCACCGAUUGACUAAGGUUUCCAGAGGAAGGCUCGUCCGCUCUGGGUUAGUCGGGUCCUAAGCUGAGGCCGACAGGCGUAGGCGAUGGAUAACAGGUUGAUAUUCCUGUACCACCUAUAAUCGUUUUAAUCGAUGGGGGGACGCAGUAGGAUAGGCGAAGCGUGCGAUUGGAUUGCACGUCUAAGCAGUAAGGCUGAGUAUUAGGCAAAUCCGGUACUCAUUAAGGCUGAGCUGUGAUGGGGAGAAGACAUUGUGUCUUCGAGUCGUUGAUUUCACACUGCCGAGAAAAGCCUCUAGAUAGAAAAUAGGUGCCCGUACCGCAAACCGACACAGGUAGUCAAGAUGAGAAUUCUAAGGUGAGCGAGCGAACUCUCGUUAAGGAACUCGGCAAAAUGACCCCGUAACUUCGGGAGAAGGGGUGCUCUUUAGGGUUAACGCCCAGAAGAGCCGCAGUGAAUAGGCCCAAGCGACUGUUUAUCAAAAACACAGGUCUCUGCUAAACCGUAAGGUGAUGUAUAGGGGCUGACGCCUGCCCGGUGCUGGAAGGUUAAGAGGAGUGGUUAGCUUCUGCGAAGCUACGAAUCGAAGCCCCAGUAAACGGCGGCCGUAACUAUAACGGUCCUAAGGUAGCGAAAUUCCUUGUCGGGUAAGUUCCGACCCGCACGAAAGGCGUAACGAUUUGGGCACUGUCUCAACGAGAGACUCGGUGAAAUCAUAGUACCUGUGAAGAUGCAGGUUACCCGCGACAGGACGGAAAGACCCCGUGGAGCUUUACUGUAGCCUGAUAUUGAAAUUCGGCACAGCUUGUACAGGAUAGGUAGGAGCCUUUGAAACGUGAGCGCUAGCUUACGUGGAGGCGCUGGUGGGAUACUACCCUAGCUGUGUUGGCUUUCUAACCCGCACCACUUAUCGUGGUGGGAGACAGUGUCAGGCGGGCAGUUUGACUGGGGCGGUCGCCUCCUAAAAGGUAACGGAGGCGCUCAAAGGUUCCCUCAGAAUGGUUGGAAAUCAUUCAUAGAGUGUAAAGGCAUAAGGGAGCUUGACUGCGAGACCUACAAGUCGAGCAGGGUCGAAAGACGGACUUAGUGAUCCGGUGGUUCCGCAUGGAAGGGCCAUCGCUCAACGGAUAAAAGCUACCCCGGGGAUAACAGGCUUAUCUCCCCCAAGAGUUCACAUCGACGGGGAGGUUUGGCACCUCGAUGUCGGCUCAUCGCAUCCUGGGGCUGUAGUCGGUCCCAAGGGUUGGGCUGUUCGCCCAUUAAAGCGGUACGCGAGCUGGGUUCAGAACGUCGUGAGACAGUUCGGUCCCUAUCCGUCGUGGGCGUAGGAAAUUUGAGAGGAGCUGUCCUUAGUACGAGAGGACCGGGAUGGACAUACCUCUGGUGUACCAGUUGUCGUGCCAACGGCAUAGCUGGGUAGCUAUGUGUGGACGGGAUAAGUGCUGAAAGCAUCUAAGCAUGAAGCCCCCCUCAAGAUGAGAUUUCCCAACUUCGGUUAUAAGAUCCCUCAAAGAUGAUGAGGUUAAUAGGUUCGAGGUGGAAGCAUGGUGACAUGUGGAGCUGACGAAUACUAAUCGAUCGAAGACUUAAUCAA
rnacentral:rRNA from 1 species